rnacentral:rRNA from 1 species
UACGGGGGGGGCAAGCGUUGUUCGGAAUUACUGGGCGUAAAGGGCUCGUAGGCGGCCAACUAAGUCAGACGUGAAAUCCCUCGGCUUAACCGGGGAACUGCGUCUGAUACUGGAUGGCUCGAGUUUGGGAGAGGGAUGCGGAAUUCCAGGUGUAGCGGUGAAAUGCGUAGAUAUCUGGAGGAACAUCAGUGGCGAAGGCGACUUCCUGGACCAAUACUGACGCUCAGGUGCGAAAGCGUGGGGAGCAAACAGG